rnacentral:rRNA from 1 species
GGGGAAUAUUGCACAAUGGAGGAAACUCUGAUGCAGCGACGCCGCGUGAGUGAAGAAGGUCUUCGGAUCGUAAAACUCUGUCCUUGGUGACGAAAAAAAUGACGGUAGCCAAGGAGGAAGCCCCGGCUAACUACGUGCCAGCAGCCGCGGUAAUACGUAGGGGGCGAGCGUUGUCCGGAUUUACUGGGCGUAAAGGGUGAGUAGGCGGUAAUAUGUGUCAGAUGUAAAAGGCUAUGGCUUAACCAUAGUUAGCAUUUGAAACUGUGGGGCUUGAGUGGAGCAGAGGCAGGCGGAAUUCCCGGUGUAGCGGUGAAAUGCGUAGAGAUCGGGAGGAACACCAGUGGCGAAGGCGGCCUGCUGGGCUUUAACUGACGCUGAAGCACGAAAGCAUGGGUAGCAAACA